rnacentral:tRNA from 1 species
UGGCUUAGAGGAUAAAGCAUCUGCCUGCAAUGCAGGAGACCUGGGUUCAAUCCCUG